CCCACCCGCGCUGCGACGGUGACACGCCGGUCGGAAUCUUCUGCUGGCAACGCCCGGCGACCGGCGCGUGCCGUGCAGCCCGAGGAGACCCUGCAGCAAGCCGUGCUUGCCCGGAUGGGCGGAGUACGAGCAGGAGUGGAUUCCGUGGUGCACCACAACGUCGACGGCUUCUCUUCGCCACCGAGCUCUGCUCCCCUCCCUGUGCAUCAGGAUGAAGGUAUACGACGGGCAGGUGUCGCGAAAGGAAUACUCAUGGUUUCUGAAGACUGACUAUGCCUGAGUACUACACAGCAACAAACUCAGCAAUGUGCACGGGGACAUUGUCUCCAGUGUCGAGUCCAAGUGCUAUGCCUGAACCAAUAUUAUGGUCAAUGCUUCUCUCUGUUCCUCGAAAUGAUGCAUGGUGAUCAUAUUUAUAAAGUGCAAGAUUUUGUAGAAGUUCAAUUUUUGAAAAAGAGGGCUCAGACAUGGCGACAAGAAUGAAGGUGGAGGGGAAGGAGUGGAGAGAAAGAUGUCUGUCUCCACGUGGUUCAUGUGCCUAUCACCCAUUAACAAUAUCUCAGUUAUCUGCAUGGUUCUCUAAUUAGUAUGUUUUCCCGGACGAAGAGAAGACUGAUCCUUCCAAAAAAAAUUCUGGGCAUGAAAAAUUCUGGACGAUGAUAUCAGCGGCGUUUCUGUUUUGGCGGCGUUAAAACAAUCUGGAAUAUAAAGGAUUCUGGAGAAGUCUGGAUGGCAAACCUAGGGAGUUCGGGCACCCCGUUGGAGAGGAAGAAGACGGUAGGCGGGCUCAGGAGAUGUCGCAGCAACAGCCGUCGAGCGUUUGGACGCCCUGGUUGUGGUUCGGCAUGCGAGGCGAUCAGCAGAGGCUGCAGCUCCCACAGCUCGCGUGCGGACGAUGUGGCCGGACGAACUGGCAUCUGUUUUGGCGGCGUUUGUUCGCAUGUGGAUGGAGCUCGUACACCAGGAAGAACUGGCGUCUUGAUGGAGCUUGUACGCCAGGAAGAACUGGCAUCUUGAUGGAGCUUGUACGUCAGGAAGAAUUGGCGUCUUGAUGGAGCUCGUACGCCAGGAAGAACUGGCGUUCGUUGGCGGGUCGAAGAAGUUUGAUUUUUGGUCGAUGGACCUCGUCCUCGUUCGUGGCGAUCGUGGGGUUCCAUGGACUUCUUGUUCGUGUGUUCUCGUUCGUGUGUUGAACUGUGGAUCUGGAUCUCGUACGUGGGCUGAGUUGGUGGGCGCUGAGUUUGUGUGUUGGACUGUGGAUCUCGAUCUCGUACGUGGGCUGAGUUGGUGGGGGCUGAGUUGGUGAUUUUGCGUACGUGGGCUGAGUUGGUGGGCUGCUGCGUGCGUGUGCGAGAUCGAAGGGAGGGGGGGAUCGAAGGAGGUCGAACCAUCACGACGUUCGAUCCCCCUUUAAUAGUAGAGAUAUAUGACAUUGCUACUAGAUUGCCUAGUGCCCCUGUUCAUGGUGGGCUAAACUUUUAUUUGCUCCUGCUGUUGCGUUUUGAUGAUCAUGAGUGUGAUGCAUUUUGAUGAUCUCCUUGUACCAGAUGAGUCCGUCGAUGAAGAGGCAGCGUCUCCUCUAGAGGGUGACGGUGGUGGCGGCGCCUGUGUGCGGCUUCGACUACAACCUCCUCUCCGGAGCUCCAGGCCUAAGAAAGUUGGAAGUGCGAAGACGUGAAGAAAAGCGUGAAGCCGUGAAGUGCUACUCAGCAAAGAGUUGUCUGUUCUAUUUGACUGUAAUAUUGUAAUAGCUGGUAUACCUAGGUUGUAAUAGUCUACAGAAAUUGUAGUACACUAAUCUAGUGUCAUUUGACGAGUUUCACAUGUUCUCUUGUUUGGAAUAUUUGAUUAUGAAUGUGAUUUGAUUGUGUGUGAGAUGGGAA